CACUCAUCAUGUCUAUCUGGUCAGUCCAACCUUGACCUAUUGAGGGCUGGGCUUAUGGUUUUCUUCUUCACUCAGUUCCUUUUGUUUCCUUGUUUAGAUACUGUGGCUGCUUCCUGGGCACUGUAAAGAAUCAUCCUCAUCCUCAUUAAAGAAGAGGACACCCCACAACAAGCUCUUGUCCAACAAGUUCCUCAUGAUUGGGGGUCUCCUGAGAAGCGGUCACCUUGGGAGAGGUCACCUCUGGCUCUGCACCAGCGUCUUCUCAGCCCUCUCUCUGCCCGGAGGACCCGGGCAGCCCGUCCCACCGACAUCUAUUGAGGCCCUUUCUCUACUCCUGCUUCUACACCAGGUCCUUUGAUAAAAGCCUCUCUGCUGGAACAAUUUCCCUCCUUAUGCCCAUGAGCGCUCGAAAAUUUGAGGCUGAUUUUUCUCAGGGGAACAAUCUCCACUUAAAUUCAAAGCCACCAAGGGGCUCCUCUAAUCUCAAAAGCAUUUGUAGAGCUGAACGCUGUGUUUUUAUUCCCGGGUAACUUUCCCACAAUCACCAGGCCUGCCUCGGCAUACUUUGACAGUCAGCGCCCACGGGCUCCAAUUUCCUUAAAUAUUUCUGUACUUGUA
rnacentral:lncRNA from 12 species